rnacentral:rRNA from 1 species
UUUAACCAUACAUGAGAUCGCUUAUCUGGACCGAUAGAAGCUGUGAGAUAACUACAUUAAAGGAACUUGACAGGCAAU